AGCCAGUAUAUAAGGGGUCCUAGGCGAGAGGCAUGGGGAGAGACUUUUUUUGGAGCAAAUUUAGCACUUAGAGCGAUUUAGGCAUAUUUCCGUUUUUGUUAUUUCGAGCUGCGAUUCAAUUAGGUUUACUCGUCUUAGGGUUGCUAGAACUAGGAAUCUCGCCGACAGCUCUCGAGCCUAGGCUUAUAACUUGUUGCAACGCUCAAACACGGAUUCGAAAUAAGAUCUAUUUUGCUCUCUUUUUACGAUUUUUGUACUUUGUCGUUGAUAUCUCGUGUUGUGAUUGCUUAGCGUGUGGUAUUAACAGAUCUCCAGGACCUCUGGGAAAUUAGGGUUUUCCUAUUUUUCUAAUUUAAAUGGAAAUCGUCAGUGCGAAUUUCGGUUCCCACAGUUUGGCGCUAGAAGGAGGGGGGAUACGGAUCAAUCUAACUCUCAACCACAUCACGCU
rnacentral:lncRNA from 1 species